CCUACGGGAGGCAGCAGUGAGGAAUAUUGGUCAAUGGACGAGAGUCUGAACCAGCCAAGUAGCGUGAAGGAUGACUGCCCUAUGGGUUGUAAACUUCUUUUAUAAAGGAAUAAAACGAGGCACGUGUGCCUUUUUGCAUGUACUUUAUGAAUAAGGAUCGGCUAACUCCGUGCCAGCAGCCGCGGUAAUACGGAGGAUCCGAGCGUUAUCCGGAUUUAUUGGGUUUAAAGGGAGCGUAGAUGGGUUGUUAAGUCAGGUGUGAAAGUUUGCGGCUCAACCAUAAAAUUGCAAUUGAUACUGGCAGUCGUGAGUACAGUUGAGGUAGGCGGAAUUCGUGGUGUAGCGGUGAAAUGCUUAGAUAUCACGAAGAACCCCGAUUGCGAAGGCAGCUUACUAAACUGUGACUGACAUUGAUGCUCGAAAGUGUGGGUAUCAAACAGGAUUAGAUACCCCUGUAGUC
rnacentral:rRNA from 1 species